AUUGAACGCUGGCGGCAUGCCUUACACAUGCAAGUCGAACGGUAACAGGUCUUCGGAUGCUGACGAGUGGCGAACGGGUGAGUAAUACAUCGGAACGUGCCUAGUAGUGGGGGAUAACUACUCGAAAGAGUGGCUAAUACCGCAUGAGAUCUACGGAUGAAAGCAGGGGAUCGCAAGACCUUGUGCUACUAGAGCGGCCGAUGGCAGAUUAGGUAGUUGGUGGGAUAAAAGCUUACCAAGCCGACGAUCUGUAGCUGGUCUAAGAGGACGAUCAGCCACACUGGGACUGAGACACGGCCCAGACUCCUACGGGAGGCAGCAGUGGGGAAUUUUGGACAAUGGGCGCAAGCCGAUCCAGCAAUGCCGCGUGCAGGAUGAAGGCCUUCGGGUUGUAAACUGCUUUUGUACGGAACGAAAAGCCCUGGGUUAAUACCCUGGGGUCAUGACGGUACCGUAAGAAUAAGCACCGGCUAACUACGUGCCAGCAGCCGCCGUAACAC
rnacentral:rRNA from 1 species